ACAUUAAUAUGCAAAUUAGAUUUAGUUUAUAGAUACAUAUAAUGUAAUGAGAAAACCCGUUCGGUUCUGGGCUGCAGUGGACUAUGUCGAUCGGGUGUCCGCACUAAGUUCGGUAUCGAUAUGGUGCUCCUGGUGGAGCUUGGGACCACCAGGUCAUCUAAGGAGGGGUGAACCGGCCCAGGUCGGAGACGGAGCAGGUCAAAGCCCCUGUGUCGAUCAGUAGUGGGAUCGCGCCUGUGAAUAGACUCUGCAGUGCAGCCUGAGCGAGACUCAGACUUUUGCGUGU
rnacentral:SRP_RNA from 1 species